rnacentral:rRNA from 1 species
CUACGGAGGGUGCAAGCGUUAUUCGGAAUCACUGGGCGUAAAGGACGCGUAGGCGGGUUGGCAAGUCAGAUGUGAAAUCCUACAGCUUAACUGUAGAACUGCAUUUGAAACUGCUAACCUAGAGUAUGGGAGGGGGAGAUGGAAUUAGUGGUGUAGAGGUAAAAUCCGUAGAUAUCACUAGGAAUACCGAAAGCGAAGGCGAUCUCCUGGAACAUAACUGACGCUAAGGCGUGAAAGCGUGGGGAGCAAACAGGAUUAGAAACCCUAGUAGUCC